AUGUGUGAUACGCGCCCCACCCUGACGGUGCUUCCCCCCUCCGAUAAGGAGCUGCAGCAGGGGACGGCCACGCUCAUGUGCCUGGCCAACAAGGGCUUCCCCUCAGGCUGGAUUCUGGCCUGGAAGAUGGGCGGUGGCGGCAGCAUCAGCAGCAGCUGGGAGGAGAGCAUGAGCCCUGGGGCGCUGCAGAAGGAUGGCCUCUACAGCUGGAGCAGCACCCUGAGGCUCCGUGCAGACCAGUGGAGGAAGGUGGACUCUGUGACCUGUGAGGCCACCCAGGGCUCUCAGACUCUGGUCUCACGGUCCCUGAGCAGAGACCAGUGUCGCCAGUCCUGA